UUGGCGACGUUAACCUGCUCAGAUUGACCUGCCAGUUUACCAACGGCUUCGCGAAUAGCAGGGUGCCACGUCACCGCGCGGUUGACGGCAUCGUUAAGCGUCAGCGUGCCGGGCGCAGGGGUAUUCAGCGGCAGCGUGGCUGAGCCGUCAAGCGAGGGAAGUUCUUGCUCUUCAGCCAGCCCCUGCGGGGUGAUUAGCUGUGGAGCCUCUUCGGCAUAGCUCGGGGCUGCACACAGGCAGCACGCCAGCCAUAAAGCAACAGGCCGUAAUUUUCCCAUAGUAUUUCCCUUUUAAAAUGGCACUGCAUUCUGGUCUGUUCCCCGGGCGUCUUUGCGCCCGGGGUU
rnacentral:sRNA from 1 species